UACGUAGGUCCCGAGCGUUGUCCGGAUUUAUUGGGCGUAAAGCGAGCGCAGGUGUUUUAUUAAGUCUGGUGUAAAAGGCAGUGGCUCAACCAUUGUAUGCAUUGGAAACUGGUAGACUUGAGUGCAGGAGAGGAGAGUGGAAUUCCAUGUGUAGCGGUGAAAUGCGUAGAUAUAUGGAGGAACACCGGUGGCGAAAGCGGCUCUCUGGCCUGUAACUGACACUGAGGCUCGAAAGCGUGGGGAGCAAACAGG
rnacentral:rRNA from 1 species